UGGUCUUUUCUCUGGAAACAACUCAGCAACUGAUGCAACUAGCCCAGGUUAUUCCGAAACUAGUUCUAGUUCUAACACAACAGGGCCAUCAGCUUACCCUUCAGCAGCAACUUCUCCUUCAACUUCUCCACCAGCUGGUCAUCAUGGUGCUCCACCAGCCACACCUUCAGCAGUAAUAUCUCCUUCAACUUCUCCACCAGCUGGUCAUCAUGGUUCCCCACAAGCUUCACCAACAACUGUAGUGUCUCCUUCAGCUUCACCACCAAGUGAUUAUCUUGGUUCUCUAUCAACUUCACCUUCAGUUUCUCCUUCAGCUUCUCCUUCUAUCUCUCCAUCAGCUUCACCAAUAGUUUCUCCUUCAGCUUCUCCUACAGAGUCUCCAUCUGCUUCAUCGACAUCUCCAUCUAUGUCACCAUCAGAUUCUCCAGAAAGCUCGGUUGAGGUGGGAUCCGAAGACACAAUCUAACUAGAGAUGGAGUGUUUUAAAACAAAAGUUUAGAAGAAGAAAAAGGAAAUAUUUUGACAAAGCCUUUUUUGGUUUUAAUAUUGUGGCAAACCUUGAAAAAGUCGUGAGGUUCAGUAUUAUUGGUUUACCAAUUGAUGAGGUAACUAUGACUAGCUUUGUAAAUUCGUGUUAACUGGUCAUGUACUCAUGUAUAUAUAUGUUGUAAUUAAAUUUUAUAAAAUUAAUUGGUACAUCUUGUUUUUUUUUUU
rnacentral:lncRNA from 1 species